rnacentral:rRNA from 1 species
UACGUAGGGGGCAAGCGUUGUCCGGAUUUAUUGGGCGUAAAGAGCGUGUAGGCGGCUAGAUAGGUCCGUUGUGAAAACUGGAGGCUCAACCUCCAGCUGUCGAUGGAAGCCAUCUGGCUAGAGUCCGGAAGAGGAGAGUGGAAUUCCUGGUGUAGCGGUGAAAUGCGCAGAUAUCAGGAAGAACACCCGUGGCGAAGGCGGCUCUCUGGGACGUGACUGACGCUGAGACGCGAAAGCGUGGGGAGCGAACAGG